CAGACUUUUCCCAUCAUCUGCUUCCUUCUCUGAGACCAUGGCAAGAUUUGAUUCAUGAAAGAAGGCUCAGUGGCUUAUAUGGCAGAAAAGAGCAGAGAACUGGAAGAAAAUCUAAAUGACCACGAGUACCAGGACCACAUAAAUGAAAGAUGAAGUACGUGUAAUGGAAAAUGACACAGCAGUGAAAAGAAUGAACUGGAGCGCUCUACAGUAGCAGAGAGAGGUCUAAAUAAAUGGUUAACAAACAAACAAACAAACAAACAAACAAACAAAAAACCAGCAGCAGUAGCAGUUGGCCAUUGGCAUGUUUUUAGCCUUAUGGUUUCUUCUUUUCUAAAAUAUUAUGAGUCAAAUUAUACAAUAUGUGGCUUUUUAAGUCUGGCAUCUUCUACUUAGUUUAACACAUUUUUGCAUCCAUCCAUUCUGAAGGAUCAUACACAGCUUGAGAGAAUGGACAAGGACAAGAUGGAGCUCUUGAAGGUCAUGAGUAUACGUUGGAUCAAAACUGAUAAGGUCAAGAUUUACAAAGAGCUGGGCCCCAGACGUUCCAGAGCUCACAGAGGUGGAGUCAUGGAAUGGUCUGGACAAUGGAGGUUCCGGUCACCUCUGUCUUCUCAAGAGGAGUUUACUGCUCCUCUGCCAGAAUUAGUCAGGUCACCAGGGCCUGGGAGGCUGUAACAAGCAGAGAUGACACAACCUACCUGGCAGGAACAAGGAUAUUCUAAAGAAAGACUUAAAAGUCUCUCCCUUCCAAGAUCAGACGAUUGAAACGUGGGCAUCCUCCUGACCUGGAACUUCUCAGGAGUGCCCUGUGCUGGGAGAAGGAAAAGGAAGAAACCCGUGCCAGCCAGAGGAGGAACUGGUCUCAGGGGAGAGAUUCACAGAGUGCUGAUAACUUGGCAGAGCAUUUUGACCAAGACUGCUUACCUGCUGCAGUUACUCUGUUACUCUGACCCUCUGCUGAGACCCAAGCCUUGUGUCAGGACCCUGAAGAUGGACUGGUGGGGAGUGAUACAGAAGGGUGUGUGUGUGUGUGUGUGUGUGUGUGGUGGCAGGGGGAUCAACAGAUAUCUGAAGUGUAACUCUAAUUAAUCUUAUCAAUAAAAACCAGGAGUCAGAUAUCAGGGUAAAAGAUGAAAUAUCAGAGAAUCGAGGGAGCAGCCACGUCACUUCCUGUCUCUCCGAUCCUCCAACCAAAAGGGUGAGAUCCCGUCUUUGCCCCACUUUAUCACUUCCUGUCUCUGCCCUGAAUUAUUACUUCCUGUCUCCUGUCUGUCCAGCCCUCCCAACCUCUGUGGUUAACUAGUGGCCAGCUCUGCCCUCUGACUCCAAGCAAACUUUAUUUGUCAGAAUACAAACAAAAUAUCACACAACAGGUGUCUUUGCCCCUCUUCCCAAUAUGGCCACAUUGAAUGAAUUGGUUUCUGCUUUUCACCGUCACUCGUUCUAUUGACUUAUUAAGGGUGGUGGUUGCGCUUGGCUUAUCUUGUAAGGUGGUCUGACAAAUUAUGAGGACGGUGUAAAAUUUCUUUCCAGGAGACAGGCCCCUCCUCAGGCUCAUGUUGGGAUUCAUCCGUGCAGGUUAGUUUUAACUGUCAACCCGAGACAAUCUAGAAUCAAGUGAGAAGAGUCUUAAUGGGGAAUUAUCCAGAUCAGGUUGGUCUCUGGGCAUGGUUGUGGGGGAGUGCCUUGCUUAUUAAUUGAGAUGGGAAGACCUGAAUGUGGGCAGCACCAUUUCAUAGGCUAGGCCCUGAUUGCAGAAGAAUAGAGAAAGCUAGCUGAGUAG